GGUCAAGUUAUUAAGGGUGCAGGGCGGAUGCCUUGGCACUAGGAGCCGAUGAAGGACGUGAUAAGCUGCGAUAAGCUUCGGGGAGUUGCACGUAAACUUUGAUCCGAAGAUUUCCGAAUGAGGAAACUCACUUAGAGUAAUGUCUAAGUAUCAUUAAGUGAAUACAUAGCUUAAUGAGGGGAACUCAGGGAACUGAAACAUCUAAGUACCUGAAGGAAGAGAAAGAAAUUCGAUUCCGUAAGUAGCGGCGAGCGAACGCGGAUUAGCCCAAACCAAUAAAGUUUUCUUUAUUGGGGUUGCGGACAUAUCAUAACGAAGAGGUAUCGUAAUUGAAGAGGUUUGGAAAGACCCACCACAGAAGGUA
rnacentral:rRNA from 1 species